rnacentral:rRNA from 1 species
AUGUCAAAAGUUAGCUUUCUUGCCGAAGUUCCGUCUUUGCCCGGAGUCUGUUGUGCCCGGAUCAUGGAAGGAGUGAAGGAGGGCGUCCAACUGUUUUUGAGAGCAAGGAGCCACCGGAGUCUGUUGUGCCCGGAUCAUGGAAGGAGUGAAGGAGGGCCGUCCAACUGUUUUGAGAGCAAGGAGCCACAGGCAGAACACCGCCAUAUCCAGCUACGGCGAGCACAAGUUGUGCCUCAAACCACCAGACGUGUCGCCAUGUACUCUUUUUCCCUGGAUGGAUGCCAGCGAUUUUCUUCUCAUUACCAACUUGUUGCUCCUGCUGUUAUCCAGCUCGAUCUCGUCUUUCUUGCAAAGAAAGAAAGAACCGGUCCUGUUCACAUGGCGAACGGGAAGGGGUCAGGAAUUCCUCUUCAACGCCGCCCUCCUCGAUCAUGCAAUACGACAGUUUCUGGUAUCAGUAUCUCAUUUUUUUUUUGCGGGUGA